CUGCCCKUYGUACACACCGCCCGUCGCUACUACCGAUUGGAUGGUUUAGUGAGGUCUUCAGAUCAGCCCCGCCGGGGUCAGACACGGCCCUGGUGGACCACUGAGAAGAUGAUCAAACUUGACUAUUUAGAACAAGUAAAAGUCAUAAGAUUUCUGUAGGUGAACCUGCAGAAGGAUCAUUA
rnacentral:rRNA from 1 species